UAUGUAGGCGGUUUGGAAAGUCAGGUGUGAAAUCCCGGGGCUCAACCCCGGAACUGCACCCGAUACUCCCAGACUAGAGUAGUGGAGGGGUGACUGGAAUUCUCGGUGUAGCAGUGAAAUGCGUAGAUAUCGAGAGGAACACUCGUGGCGAAGGCGAGUCACUGGACACUUACUGACGCUGAGAUACGAAGGCCAGGGUAGCGAAAG
rnacentral:rRNA from 1 species